rnacentral:rRNA from 1 species
UGGGGAAUAUUGCACAAUGGGGGAAACCCUGAUGCCGCGACGCCGCGUGAGCGAAGAAGGCUUUCGAGUCGUAAAGCUCUGUCCUAUGAGAAGAUAAUGACGGUAUCAUAGGAGGAAGCCCUGGCUAAAUACGUGCCAGCAGCCGCGGUAAUACGUAUGGGGCGAGCGUUGUCCGGAAUUAUUGGGCGUAAAGGGUACGUAGGUGGUUUUUUAAGUCAGGUGUCAAAGCGUGGAGCUUAACUCCAUUAAGCACUUGAAACUGAAAGACUUGAGUGAAGGAGAGGAAAGUGGAAUUCCUAGUGUAGCGGGGAAAUGCGUAGAUAUUAGGAGGAAUACCGGUGGCGAAGGCGACUUUCUGGACUUUUACUGACGCUCAGGUACGAAAGCGUGGGGAGCAAACAGG